GCUGACGUACCGAAAUGGUUAUAACGGCGUAGUCUUGAAAACUAAUGUGGUGAAAGCCCUGUAGGUUCGAAUCCUACCGUCAGCG
rnacentral:tRNA from 1 species